rnacentral:rRNA from 1 species
AUACGUAGGGUGCAAGCGUUAAUCGGAAUUACUGGGCGUAAAGCGUGCGCAGGCGGUUUUGUAAGACAGUGGUGAAAUCCCCGGGCUCAACCUGGGAACUGCCAUUGUGACUGCAAGGCUGGAGUGCGGCAGAGGGGGAUGGAAUUCCGCGUGUAGCAGUGAAAUGCGUAGAUAUGCGGAGGAACACCGAUGGCGUAGGCAAUCCCCUGGGCCUGCACUGACGCUCAUGCACGAAAGCGUGGGGAGCAAACAGGAUUAGAUACCCUGGUAGUCCACGCCCUAAACGAUGUCAACUGGUUGUUGGGGAUUUAUUUUCUCAGUAACGAAGCUAACGCGUGAAGUUGACCGCCUGGGGAGUACGGCCGCAAGGUUAAAACUCAAAGGAAUUGACGGGG